AGCGAACGUUAGCGGCGCGCCUAACACAUGCAAGUCGCACGGAGUAGCAAUACUCAGUGGCGCACGGGUGCGUAACACGUAGAUAACCUGCCCUUAAGAGGGGGAUAACGUUCCGAAAGGAGCGCUAAUACCGCAUAAUGCCAGAGAUGGAGAAAGGCUGGGACAGCAAUGCCAGCCGCUUUUGGAGGGGUCUGCGGCCCAUCAGCUAGUUGGUAAGGUAAUGGCUUACCAAGGCAAAGACGGGUAGCUGGUCUGAGAGGAUGAUCAGCCACACUGGUACUGGAACACGGACCAGACUCCUACGGGAGGCAGCAGUGGGGAAUCUUGGUCAAUGGGCGCAAGCCUGAACCAGCGACGCCGCGUGAGUGAUGAAGGCCUUCGGGUUGUAAAGCUCUGUGGGGAGGGACGAAAGACUGAGGUCUAAUAGGCUUCAGGUUGACGGUACCUCCUUAGCAAGCACCGGCUAACUCUGUGCCAGCCGCCGCCGUAAAAC
rnacentral:rRNA from 1 species